GGGUGGAUAGCUCAGUGGUAUAGCGUGUGCUUAGUGUGCAUGAGGUCCUGGGUUCAAUCCUCAGUACUUCCA
rnacentral:tRNA from 1 species